GUGUCAGCAGCCGCGGUAAAACGUAGGAGGCAAGCGUUAUCCGGAUUUACUGGGCGUAAAGCGCAUGCAGGUGGCACUACAAGUCUGAUGUGAAAGCCCCUGGCUUAACUAGGGGAGUGCGUUGGAAACUGUAGAGCUGGAGGUCGGAAGAGGAAAGCGGAAUUCCCGGUGUAGUGGUGGAAUGCGUAGAUAUCGGGAGGAACACCAGUGGCGAAGGCGGCUUUCUGGUCCGGACCUGACACUAAGAUGCGAAAGCGUGGGGAGCGAACGGGAUUAGAUACCCCGGUAGUCCACGCUGUAAACCAUGGGUACUGGGUAUCGGUGGUAUUGACCCCAUCGGUGCCGAAGCCAACGCGUUAAGUACCCCGCCUGGGGACUACGGCCGCAAGGUUAA
rnacentral:rRNA from 1 species